rnacentral:rRNA from 1 species
UGGGGAAUAUUGCACAAUGGGCGCAAGCCUGAUGCAGCCAUGCCGCGUGUAUGAAGAAGGCCUUCGGGUUGUAAAGUACUUUCAGUCGGGAGGAAGGUGGUAAGGUUAAUAACCUUAUCAAUUGACGUUACCGACAGAAGAAGCACCGGCUAACUCCGUGCCAGCAGCCGCGGUAAUACGGAGGGUGCAAGCGUUAAUCGGAAUUACUGGGCGUAAAGCGCACGCAGGCGGUUUGUUAAGUCAGAUGUGAAAUCCCCGGGCUCAACCUGGGAACUGCAUCUGAUACUGGCAAGCUUGAGUCUCGUAGAGGGGGGUAGAAUUCCAGGUGUAGCGAUGAAAUGCGUAGAGAUCUGGAGGAAUACCGGUGGCGAAGGCGGCCCCCUGGACGAAGACUGACGCUCAGGUGCGAAAGCGUGGGGAGCAAACAGG